AUGUGCACCUGGGCGCGGGACGCCGCAGGACGGAGCAAGAGCGUUCCUCGGUCCUGCUCCCCCGCGUACGGGCAGCCCAUGACCCGGGCGCCGUCGCCCAACAGGAGGGAGCAGGGAGAGACGGCCGAAGCCGGCCUCGAGUCCUACGUGUCCCCGGGUGCCCUGCCUCUCCGGGACACCUGCGCAACUCGCAGCAGCCAAGCCCCACUACAUUUAAAAGUGUAUUUGUGGUUGUCACGGUGCACGCCAAAAGCUCGCUCGGCGCCCCCAGAGUGCGCCGGGCCUCCGAGCCUGGAAACAAGCCCCUCCCAGCGCAGCUGUCGCCGCCGCCUGCGGGCUCCUUUCACUUUCUCACGGCCAAGUCACCCAGAGGGGCGCCGCCGCUGCCACCGCCGCUGCGCCCGAGGACUCCGCCCCGCGCCGCGCCGCUCCGGGACCCCGCCCACCCGAGCCCCGCCCACCACAACAGUUGCCGCCUGCGAUUGGCACGCGCGGGAGGGCAGCUCCGGCUCGCCGCCCCCAUUGGCUGGGCCCCCGUGUCAGUCCGACGACUGCCCGCCACCCCCUCCGCCUUCCCGGAGAGCCGCCCUUCCAUUGGAGGAGUCUGAGGCCUGGGGGCGGGCGGGGAGCGACGGUCCAGCCGCUUUCGGUCAAUCGCAGAAGUCCAACGCCCGGAGGGAGGGAGGCCUGGGAAGGAGAGGGGCGGACCGAGGGGGGGAACAUCUGGCCGGCGCCGCCGCGUGCGUGCGUGGUGCGUCCUCCCGCCCCCUCCCCUCCCCCUCCCCCGCGCCGCCCCCCCGCGCCGCCCCCCCCACCCGCCCGGCGGCUCCGCGCUCGCUCCCUCGCUCGCUCCCUCGCUGUGUCUGGCAGGCUGCGGCCGCCGCUGGGCUGCUGCCAUGGGGAGCCGUUGAGAGUGGGGCCCUCUUCGCUCCGCCGCGCUCCUCCGGCUGCCAGCGGGGGUGGGCGGGAGGGAGGGGCGGGGGGGAGCGGGCGACGGAGCCGGGAUUGGGGGGUGGGGGGGCCGGGAGGGAGGGGGGCCAGAGCUGGAGGAAGCCCACCAAGUCCGGCGGCGGCGGCGGCGGCGGCGGCGGCCGGGAGGAGGAGGAGGAGGAGGAGGCGGAGGACGCGGCGGCGGCGGCGGCGGGGACGCGGUGA
ensembl:lncRNA